rnacentral:rRNA from 1 species
CAAUAGCGUAUAUUUAAGUUGUUGCAGUUAAAAAGCUCGUAGUUGGAUUUCGGAUGGGCUUGACCGGUCCGCCGUUUGGUGUGCACUGGUCGUGCCUAUCUUGCUGCCGGGGACGCGCUCCUGGCCUUAAUUGGCUGGGUCGCGGAGUCGGCGAUGUUACUUUGAAAAAAUUAGAGUGUUCAAAGCAGGCCUAAGCUCUGAAUACAUUAGCAUGGAAUAACGCUAUAGGACUCUGGUCUUAUUGCGUUGGUCUUCGAGACCGGAGUAAUGAUUAAGAGGGACAGUUGGGGGCAUUCGUAUUUCAUUGUCAGAGGUGAAAUUCUUGGAUUUAUGAAAGACGAACCUCUGCGAAAGCAUUUGCCAAGGAUGUUUUCAUUAA